AUACAGAGGGUGCAAGCGUUAAUCGGAUUUACUGGGCGUAAAGCGCGCGUAGGUGGCUAAUUAAGUCAAAUGUGAAAUCCCCGAGCUUAACUUGGGAAUUGCAUUCGAUACUGGUUAGCUAGAGUAUGGGAGAGGAUGGUAGAAUUCCAGGUGUAGCGGUGAAAUGCGUAGAGAUCUGGAGGAAUACCGAUGGCGAAGGCAGCCAUCUGGCCUAAUACUGACACUGAGGUGCGAAAGCAUGGGGAGCAAACAGGAUUAGAUUCCCUGGUAGGCCAUGCCGUAAACGAUGUCUACUAGCCGUUGGGGCCCUUGAGGCUUUAGUGGCGCAGCUAACGCGAUAAGUAGACCGUCUGGGGAGUACGGUCGCAAGACUAAAACUCAAAUGAAUUGGCGGGG
rnacentral:rRNA from 1 species